rnacentral:rRNA from 1 species
GCACUGCCUGGUGCAGAGGUCAAGGAGCAAUCCGGUGGAAGAUGGACUCGCGUCCGAUUAGAUAGUUGGUGGGGUAAUGGCCUACCAAGUCAGCGAUCGGUAGCCGACCUGAGAGGGUGAUCGGCCACACUGGAACUGAGAGACGGUCCAGACUCCUACGGGAGGCAGCAGUGGGGAAUAUUGGGCAAUGGGGGAAACCCUGACCCAGCGACGCCGCGUGAGGGAAGAAGGUUUUCGGAUUGUAAACCUCUGUUCUUGGUGAAGAGUGGAAGACGGUAACCAAGGAGGAAGCCCCGGCUAACUACGUGCCAGCAGCCGCGGUAAUACGUAGGGGGCGAGCGUUGUCCGGAAUGAUUGGGCGUAAAGGGCGCGUAGGCGGCUGUUUAAGUCUGGAGUGGAAGUCCUAUUUUUAAGGUAGGAAUUGCUUUGGAAACUGAGCAGCUUGAGUGCAGGAGAGGUCAUCGGAAUUCCCGGUGUAGCGGUGAAAUGCGUAGAGAUCGGGAGGAACACCAGUGGCGAAGGCGGGUGACUGGACUGCAACUGACGCUGAGGCGCGAAAGUGUGGGGAGCAAACAGGAUUAGAUACCCUGGUAGUCCACACUGUAAACGAUGAAUGCU